rnacentral:rRNA from 1 species
CAUAGGUUAAUGAGGCGAACCGGGGGAACUGAAACAUCUAAGUACCCCGAGGAAAAGAAAUCAACCGAGAUUCCCCCAGUAGCGGCGAGCGAACGGGGAGCAGCCCAGAGCCUGAAUCAGUGUGUGUGUUAGUGGAAGCGUCUGGAAAGGCGCGCGAUACAGGGUGACAGCCCCGUACACAAAAAUGCACAUACUGUGAGCUCGAUGAGUAGGGCGGGACACGUGGUAUCCUGUCUGAAUAUGGGGGGACCAUCCUCCAAGGCUAAAUACUCCUGACUGACCGAUAGUGAACCAGUACCGUGAGGGAAAGGCGAAAAGAACCCCGGCGAGGGGAGUGAAAAAGAACCUGAAACCGUGUACGUACAAGCAGUGGGAGCACGCUUAGGCGUGUGACUGCGUACCUUUUGUAUAAUGGGUCAGCGACUUAUAUUCUGUAGCAAGGUUAACCGAAUAGGGGAGCCGAAGGGAAACCGAGUCUUAACUGGGCGUUAAGUUGCAGGGUAUAGACCCGAAACCCGGUGAUCUAGCCAUGGGCAGGUUGAAGGUUGGGUAACACUAACUGGAGGACCGAACCGACUAAUGUUGAAAAAUUAGCGGAUGACUUGUGGCUGGGGGUGAAAGGCCAAUCAAACCGGGAGAUAGCUGGUUCUCCCCGAAAGCUAUUUAGGUAGCGCCUCGUGAAUUCAUCUCCGGGGGUAGAGCACUGUUUCGGCAAGGGGGUCAUCCCGACUUACCAACCCGAUGCAAACUGCGAAUACCGGAGAAUGUUAUCACGGGAGACACACGGCGGGUGCUAACGUCCGUCGUGAAGAGGGAAACAACCCAGACCGCCAGCUAAGGUCCCAAAGUCAUGGUUAAGUGGGAAACGAUGUGGGAAGGCCCAGACAGCCAGGAUGUUGGCUUAGAAGCAGCCAUCAUUUAAAGAAAGCGUAAUAGCUCACUGGUCGAGUCGGCCUGCGCGGAAGAUGUAACGGGGCUAAACCAUGCACCGAAGCUGCGGCAGCGACGCUGAUGCGUUGUUGGGUAGGGGAGCGUUCUGUAAGCCUGUGAAGGUGUGCUGUGAGGCAUGCUGGAGGUAUCAGAAGUGCGAAUGCUGACAUAAGUAACGAUAAAGCGGGUGAAAAGCCCGCUCGCCGGAAGACCAAGGGUUCCUGUCCA